CUAUGCGCCUUGCCAGCCCGCUCAGGUGUGCCAGCAGCCGCGGUAAUACGUAGGGGGCGAGCGUUGUCCGGAAUCACUGGGCGUGAAGGGCGCGUAGGCGGUUUAAUAAGUCAGUGGUGAAAACUGAGGGCUCAACCCUCAGCCUGCCACUGAUACUGUUAGACUUGAGUAUGGAAGAGGAGAAUGGAAUUCCUAGUGUAGCGGUGAAAUGCGUAGAUAUUAGGAGGAACACCAGUGGCGAAGGCGAUUCUCUGGGCCAAGACUGACGCUGAGGCGCGAAAGCGUGGGGAGCAAACAGG
rnacentral:rRNA from 1 species